rnacentral:lncRNA from 1 species
CUCUAGUCUGGUAAAACAUCUAAAAUGUCAUAAUUACUUACUCAUAAUGGCGGCUGCAAUGAAAAUGAGAUAAUGUAUUGAUGAAUUUAUUUGUGUUUUUGUAGGUAUUAUUUAUAAAUCUUUUAUUGAUACCUACUUAAUAUACCGUUUGGUAUGGACCAUGAUACUAUAAAUAAAGUUAUUUAUAGUAUCAAGUGUUAUUUAUAGUAUCAUGGUAUGGACUACUGUUCUAGCUCCUAGUAAAGUUUAAACCGUUCAAACUAUAAAUUUAGGUUUUAUGGUGCAUAAUUUUUUAAUAGACGAAAAUACAAUAGUUCCUAAUUUGGAUCAAACUGAAGAUAAUUCUAAUGCAAAUAUUUUAGCACAAAUAUCAAAACAAAAUAAAAACACAAAUAAUCAACCUCAAACAGUCAACGUAAAAUUCUGGUUAACAUUAGAAUGUUUAUAAAUUUUAUAAAAUCUUUAAAAUCAGCUGUAGCUGUAGAUGCAGUACUACCAUAACGUGACACAGGGUGACAAACAAAAUUUCGACCAAUCACGUGCCGAAUUUCAUACAAUUUUCGAUACAAGAACUUGCAUAGUGUCAUACAGGGCACAAAUGUACGUACAAGAAAAUGCAUAGUGUCAUACAGCCUUAAGACCGCUUUACAGCUUGCAAUUUCUUGCAUACAAGACUUUCUAGGUACGGCUCUUGAAUAUUCAUGGGAGAGAUUAAAUGUCCAGCAAACGACGGCAAUGUUGCCAGAUUCCUUUUAGCGGGAAUUUUAAAAUUGUAUAGCAGUUUGGUUUUAAAUUUGACAGUUCUGUUUUCUCAAGUCAAAAAUCUUAACCUUACUUUUACAAGUGAUUAGGAUUAUUAUUAUUUUAUUUACAUGUAAAUUGAAACAAUAAAUAUUGUGCUGUGUCAUAAUUUAAAACUCAUUAUGUUGCAGUCUUUUCCAGUUGAUAAAAUUGCAAUUCAAAAACUUUUAGAUUUGCACUGUAUGGAUGGCACAGGAAGAGAAAAGAGUACAAGAACAUGAAACAUCUUAUUAUGAGUGUAUAUGUAUGUGAUCCUCAAAAAAUUAUUUUACAAAACAAGAUAGAGAAAGAGCUUUAAAAUCCCAAGGAUCCUGCAAAAUGUUUAUUUGUUGUACUAGUCGAAUAAUAGUAUCUAAAAAUAUUGAAACUAUUUUAAAACACAUUACGGGCAUGAGGAUAAUAUAGAGCACUUACAUAAAUACCAAAAUCAGAUAAAUAUUUCUUCAAAGUUUAUUUUGAGACUUUCUUCAAAAAUUAAACUUCAGACUGUUCAGGAUAGCAUAGGAGGCGAAUUAAAAAGAAUUAAUUUACUUACAAGAAAAGAUAUCAGAAACAUUAAACUCUCUUAUGGCAUUGAUUUGAAAGACGGGUAUAUGUACAAUGAUGAUGCAACGUGUUUAUUUUUGGAUUGAAUGCUUACAGACUCAUGUCCAAUAUUAUUUUACAAACAACAUGACAUACUAAUGGAUAUUCAUUCUGAAUUUAACAUUUAUGAUUUUUGUCUUAUUUUCCUUAAUACUGUGCCAAAAGGAAAUGUUAAUUAAGUUUGGUAAAUCCUUUAUCGCAAUCGAUGGAACUCAUGGGCUCAAUCCCUAUGACUUUCAACUUAUGACAGUAUUAGUAAAAGAUGAAUUUGGGAAUGGAUUUUGUACUGCUUUCUUAUUUUCAAAUAGAAAAGAUACCUACUUUAAUUUACCAAUUUUUUUAAAUACAUGUCUGUGUUGGUAUUAUAUGUAUAGUCAAAUGUUUUCAUAUCAGGCAUAAGCGACACCUUUUACAAUGCCUCGUCAAAUGUAAUGGGUAUUGCUCCUAAUAGACUGUUAAGUGCCUGGCACAUAUUAUAGGGCAUGGUAAGUAAAUCUUAAUAAAAUAUCUGAUUCUGAAAAAAAUCCUAUUAUGUAUACAAGAUGUAUUAAUGAUGGUUUAGAGUAGAGAGUAGUAAUAGCUUUUUGGGUAGACUCCUAAGUGAUGCAGAUACAUACAAUUUUAGUAAGUAUUUCCAGUAGAAUUACUGCAAUAACAUCCAACAAUGGGCCUAUUGUUAUAGGAAGGGGUUGUGGAAUUAAUACCAAUAUGACCAUUCAAAAUUUUCAUAAAAUUUUGGAUAAAAGGGUAUCCAUUAGUUGUUAUCAGUUAAGUUUAAAACUUGGCACUCAUGGAGAGCUAUACCAUAAUAUACAGCAUGUCUACUAAGUUGGAAACAUAUGGGAAACUUUUUUAUUAUUAAUUUCACGAAAAAAAGUUUUUCUUUAUAAAAAGUUCUGCAUGCCCCAAAACCUAAGAUUCAAUCAUCAGAUAAUAAAUUAUCUCAAUAUUAUACGAGGUAUGUCAAAAAAUAUGAAUUUCGGUCAAGGGUAAAGUACAGUGGAACCUCGAUAACUCGGAUUAAUCGGGACCACGACCGAUCCGGGUUAUCGAAAAUCCGAGAUAGCCGGAGAAUAUGGUAAAAAUUAAUAAAAUACGGUAUACUUACAGAUAAACUCCGUUAGAAUUGAAAUAACAUGAAAUAUUUUUAUAAAUAUGCACAGUACAUAUUACCUACUCAUUACAAUUCUAAAAAAAACACCAAACCCAAACAAUACAAGACACACAAUACUAAAGACCAUUGUUUAUAAAAGAAUUUUUUAAAUAGUCUUUCCUAAACAAUGCUGACAGUUUGAAAUAAAAAGGAAUCGAUACUACAGACAGCUGGCUGUUGUUUCUGCGGCGUGUACUAUGAGUAAUUUUUAAUCUCGUGUUCAAAUUACACACAUAAGUACACGACACAGAGAGUCUAGACACAUUAUCUCUCAAAUAUUAUAUUACAUACACUUUUAUUGUUGAAAGGAUUGUCUGAUAAUUAACUAUUUUGAUUGGAAAUAAGCCACAAUUAAAUUGAAAAAUACAAAAUAUUGAAAAUCAAAAUGUUUAUCUGAUGAAAAUCGGUCCGGGUUAGCCGGACUUCCGGGAUAUCGGGGGCCGACUUAUCGGGGUUCCACUGUACCUUUAUUUCUCUCAAUAUCAAAAAUUCUUAUGAUAAAAAGUUGUUUGGAAUUAAAAACUAAGGUCAAAUAUGCAAUUACAUGCUUCUAAUUGAAAAAAAAAUUUUUUCUCAAAUUUAUGGAUACCCAACAUCGUUUUUAAUUAUUACAAAUAUGAUAACUCUUUUAUUAUUCAUUUUACGAAAAAAAGUUAUUCUUCAUAAAAAGCUUUGCAUGGUGUAAAAUCUAAGACACAACCAUGAUAUAUCAACUUUUAUUAAUUUUAUACGAGGUGUGUCAAAAAAUAUGAAAUUCGCUCAAGAUUAUAGUACCUUUAUAUUUCACAAUAUUUCAAUUAGAAGGAUGUAAUUUCAUAUUGAAACAUAGUUUUUAAUUCUAAACAACUUUUUUAAUAACCGUUUUCAAUAUUGUGAAAAAUAAAGAUACUUUACUCUUGAGUGAAAUUCAUAUUUUUUGACAUACCUCGUAUAAAAUUAAUAAAAUGUGAUAUCUGAUGGUUGCAUCUUCGGUCUUAGGACAUACAGAGCUUUUUAUACGGAAUACCUUUUUUUCGCAAAAGUAAUAAUAAAAGAGUUAUCCUAUGUGUAAUAAAUAAAUACGAAGUAUCAAUAAAUUUGAGAAAAAUUUGGAAAAUAUUUUUUCCAAUAAGAAGCAGGUAAUUGAAUAUUUUAUCUUAGUUUUUGUUUCUAAACAACUUUUCAUAAUAAUAAUUUUCGAUAUUGAGAGAAAUAAAGGUACUUUACCCUUGACCGAAAUUCAUAUUUUUUGACAUACCUCGUAUAAUAUUGAGAAAAUUUAUUAUCUGAUGAUUGAAUCUUAGGUUUUGGGGCAUGCAGAACUUUUUAUAAAGAAUAACUUUUUUCGUAAAAUGAAUAACAAAAAAGUUUCCCAUAUGUUUCCAACUUAAGUAGACACGCAUAAUAGGUAUAUUAUCUCAUAAUAUUACAUCUCAUAUUGUUCACUACAUUAGUAAUGAGUGAGCAAUAUGAGAUAUAACAUAUUAUAGUAUAAGUCUCUGUGCAUGACCAGAUUAACAUGUUUGGUGCCCAUCUCGAACAAGCUCCACUUGGCUGGUACCACAUACUUAAAUCAUUUAUUUAGUUACACAGUACUACUCACAUAACUUAUGUGUCGUCAGUACCUUCCGUAAAACCUUCGUGAUGCUACCCAUACGUCAUGGCCACUGAAUGUGUUAAAGCUUGUUAAUGUAGGAGAGUUAUACUAAAAUAUGUAUCUUAUAUUAUAUUGCCUUAAAUAGAAAAAAUAUCUUAUUUAAAUUGUAUCCAUGUAAGUUUUGAUUUAAUGAAAUAAACCUUUUAAUCAAAAAAG